UCUCCGUAGGUGAACCUGCGGAGGGAUCAUUACUGAGUGAGGGCUCACGCCCGACCUCCACCCCUUUGUGAACACAUCUUGUUGCUUCGGGGGCGACCCUGCCGGCACUCUGUCGCCGGGCGCCCCCGAAGGUCUCCCAACACUGCAUCUUUGCGUCGGAGUUUAACACAAAUUAAACAAAACUUUCAACAACGGAGCUCUUGGUGCUGGCAUCGAUGAAGAACACAGC
rnacentral:misc_RNA from 1 species